GCGGGUGUGGUGCAGGUUGCACAGCUGCCCUUCAUAGACCAUUGGUUUGCAGGCAAGUAGUCCUUUCCGGGUUCGACUCCCGACGCCCGCU